UCCGUAGGUGAACCUGCGGAGGGAUCAUUACACAAAUAUGAAGGCGGGCUGGAACCUCUCGGGGUUACAGCCUUGCUGAAUUAUUCACCCUUGUCUUUUGCGUACUUCUUGUUUCCUUGGUGGGUUCGCCCACCACUAGGACAAACAUAAACCUUUUGUAAUUGCAAUCAGCGUCAGUAACAAAUUAAUAAUUACAACUUUCAACAACGGAUCUCUUGGUUCUGGCAUCGAUGAAGAACGCAGCGAAAUGCGAUAAGUAGUGUGAAUUGCAGAAUUCAGUGAAUCAUCGAAUCUUUGAACGCACAUUGCGCCCUUUGGUAUUCCAAAGGGCAUGCCUGUUCGAGCGUCAUUUGUACCCUCAAGCUUUGCUUGGUGUUGGGCGUCUUGUCUCUAGCUUUGCUGGAGACUCGCCUUAAAGUAAUUGGCAGCCGGCCUACUGGUUUCGGAGCGCAGCACAAGUCGCACUCUCUAUCAGCAAAGGUCUAGCAUCCAUUAAGCCUUUUUUUCAACUUUUGACCUCGGAUCAGGUAGGGAUACCCGCUGAACUUAAGCAUAUCAUAAGCGGAGGA
rnacentral:rRNA from 1 species